GCGCGCGCCCCCGCUCGCGAACCUCAAAUCAGGGCGGGGAACGCGCCGGGUUUCAAGACAAAAGCAUAGGGGCGAGAACGCGCCGUGGAGUACAGGGGGCGAGAACGCGCCGUGGAGUACAGGGCGCGCGCGCGCCGCCGAGCGCAAGGUGAAGGGUGGGGCAAAGCGAGUGAGGAAUAUGUGGGGAGCGGCGCUAAGGGCGCGCACCCCUGGGCCCGGGAAGUGGCGCGAGCGCGCGCAAGCUCGGAUUUUCUGGGCGGAGCGCCACAGCAGCUUGAUUCCACGCCCUCCCUAAACGCCGAGGAGGGGCCGUGAGUGCAGCUGAAGCCGUCCUGCCUUCGGGAGCACCUACCGCCAUUUAUUUGACCCUGAGUGGGACCUGGGACAAAUUAAACGUGUGGUGUUUCCCUGGAUUCCUGGAGAAGCUAUAACUUCUCGGAGUGCCUAGGAAGCGCGACACCCCGAAUAGGGGCUCCUCUAAUCCUGCGUAAUGUACCCCAACGGGCAAGCUCCUGGAGGAGAAGAGAGGGUAUCCCCAGUGUAUAAGAUGCACUCUGUCCUCACUUCUGCAUAAUGGAAAUCAUAAGUUCCUUUUAAGACUCAGCCCAAACUAGAAACUGGAAAAUGAAUGGAUGCCCAUCAAUUGGAGAAUGGUUUAGUAAAUUAUGGUAUAUGAAUGUUAUGGGAAUAUUAUUGUUCUGUAAGAAAUGACCAGCAGGAUGAAUACAGAGAGACUUGGAGAGACUUGCAUGAACUGAUGCUAAGUGAAAUGAGCAGAACCAGGAGAUCAUUAUAUAUCUCAACAACGAUACUGUAUGAGAAUGUAUUCUGAUGGAAGUGGAUUUCUUUGACAAAGAGACCUAACUCCGUUUCAAUUGAUCAAGGAUGGACAGAAGCAGAUACACCCAAAGAAAGAACACUGGGAAAUGAAUGUAAACUGCUUGCAUUUUUGUCUUUCUUCCCAGGUUAUUUUUACCUUCUGAAUCCAAUUCUUCCUGUGCAACAAGAGAACUGUUCGGUUCGGCACACAUACAUUGUGUCUAGAAUACACUGUGAUAUUUUUAACUUGUAUAGGACUGCUUGCCAUCUGGGGGAGGGGGUGAAGAGAGGGAGGGGAGAAGUCAGAACAGAAGUGAGUGCAAGGGAUAAUGUUGUAAAAAAAAUUACCCAGGCAUGGGCUCUGUCAAUAAAAAGUUAUAAUAAACAAAUAAAUAAAUAAAUAAAAAUUAAAAAAAAAAAAAAGUGCUACAUAAAAAAAAAAAAAAAAAAAAAAAGACUCAGCCCAAAUGCUACCUUCUGCAUAAGUCCUUUCCUGGUAUCCCCAGUUGCUAGGGACACUCUCCCCAAGUUUACUUUAUAUCUCUUUUGCAUUUUACUUGUUUUCUCUUUAAUAUUGGGAGUCUACCUCACUCUAAUUGAAAUACAGAGGCUCAGACUUCUUAACUGAGAUUAAAUAGAACUAUGAGGUAAAUGUAAAUAUAAGAGGGAACAGCUAGGUGUUACAAUGGAUGAAGUGCUGUCCUGGAGUCAGGAGAACCUGGUUCAUAUCUAGGUUCAAACACUUAUUAGCUGUGUGAUCCUGGUCAAGUCACCUAAUCCAGUUUCCUCAUGUGUAAAAUAAGCUGGAAAGGGGAAAUUUCAGUAUAUUAGUCAAGAAAACUCCAAAUGAGAUCACAGAGAAUUGGCCAUGACUGAACAAUAAAAAAACACAAGAAAUGUUUGGGGAUUGGUUUGAUAAAACAGUAAAACAAAUUAGUUCAAAAUUAGGCAUUCUAGUAGUAAACCAGCCCACUGACAGAAUAGCUGAGAGAAACUAAAAUGCUGAGAGAAAAUGACUAGAGUGGGAAGAGAGGAGAAGGAAAAACAGAAGUUUACAAAAGCAUGUCACUUGAUCCCAAAAUGAGAUUUCAAACUUUAAAAAGUCAGAAUAUUUGAAACUUCUCACUUGCAAAUAUGAGUGUCCCUAAAAUAGCAGUGGCUGACAAUAGCACUGCAUUAGGAACUAAGAAACAUGGAAACAUACUUUCCUUGAGGAAAGUACUUUAGAAGGCUACAAGGAACCUAUACCUAGGGAAAACUUCAUGGAAACCCUUUAAGAGAAGAGUGGAGUGGAAAGACUUCUUUCUAGCAACUCAGAGCUAAUAUUUACCACUUUAUUACAUGUGUUCUCUAACCUUGAAUCCACUCUGUAAGAAAACAUCUCCCCAGCUUGCCAGAAGGGAGGGGGAGACUAUUUUAUAACAAAUGCUAUUACUGUACUUCCUUAGUAAAUAUCCAUUUCUUUAAAAAUAAUAAGUCUGGCUGACUGAUAUCAAUUAAUAAUGAAUAGGAACCAUACUGGUUGGAGCUUAUAAGUGACAGCAUUAGAAAACUACCCUUGUCCAUUAAGGCUACUCCUAAAACCCUGAGGGGAACAGUAGCCAGAAAUGCUCUGAGAACCCAAUCUAUUAUUCUGUAGAUUGAGAAAGUACGCAUAUUUUCUUCUCUAUUAGAAUGUAAGAUCCUUAUUAUAUAACUCAACAACGACACUGUUUGAGGAUGUAUUCUGAUGGAAGUGGAUAUCUUCGAUAAAGAGAGCUAAUUCAGUUUCAUUUGAUCAAAGAUGGACAGAAGCAACUACAAUACUGUAACCUAUUCAACAUGUAAAGGACUGCUUGCCAUCUGGGGGAGGGGGUGGAGGGAGGGAGGGGAAAAAUCGGAACAGAAGUGAGUGCAAGGGAUAAUGCUGUAAAAAAAAUUACCCUGGAAUGAGUUCUGUCAAUAAAAAGUUAUUUAAAAAAUAAUAAAAAUAAAUUUCAAAAAAAAAAAAAAAAGAAUGUAAGAUCCUUGAGGGCAGGGACUUUCACAUUAAUUCCCCUACAAAUACUCUGCAUUUGUCAUGAUGCAGCGCACUUAGUCAAUGCUUAAUAAGUACUUGCUAUUGGUUAUCCAAGCAGUUACUAAGUCUUACUGAUUUUACGUAUUCGUUUUUGCACGUUUUCUUGUCUAUAAUCCCAACUCAACCUCUACUCAGUUCAGUCCCUUUCUGAUCAUUUGACUGCAUGAUUGCAGUACAAUGGCCAGUUUCUUCACUCCACUCUCUUCCAUCAUUUAAACAGUUUAGAAACUGGCAUUCUUAAAACACAGAUCUAUGUCAUCUUCCUCCCCCCUGCCCAACCUACUUCUAACACUAAAUCAAAAAUAUUCAAUGAUUUUCUGUUGGCUUUAAGAUAAAAUACUGUAAUGGGCUGAGGCUUGAGUUGAUGCACUGAGGUCCCAAGCACAUGAGGCUAAAUAGUAAUUGGACCAUACUCUAUUAAUAUAUAAGCUUGGAGAAAGAAUGGCCCCCACCCACUCUUUGUGCAAGUCCUGAUGUGUUGUAUAGGAAAUGACGAUUUUGGUGGGUGGAGGCAGGGGAGUGGAAAAGGAAGGGGAGGAGAUGGCUCAGUGGGUAGAGCACCAGCCCUGAAGUCAGGAGGACCUGAGUUCAAAUCCAGCCUCAGACACUUAACAAUUCCUGGUUGUGUGACCAUGAGCAAGUCACUUAACCCCAACUGCCUCAGCAAAAAGCAAAAAGAAGAAGAGAAACAAACAGAAAAAAGAGAGAGAGAGAGAGAUCUGAGCUCUCCUUUCCCCUUACUUUUCCACUCCCCUGCCUCCACCCACCAAAAUCGUCAUUUCCUAUACAACACAACAGGACUUGCACAAAGAGUGGGUGGGGGCCAUUCUUUCUCCAAGCUUAUAUAUUAAUAGAGUAUGGUCCAAUUACUAUUUAGCCUCAUGUGCUUGGGACCUCAGUGCAUCAACUCAAGCCUCAGCCCAUUACAAAAAACAAAAAAUUCUCAUAUGAUCCUUACACAGUCUGGAUUCCACCAGUGUUUCCUUACUUAUUUAAUGUUAUUUCAUUUAUACUUUUGAAAUAGUCCUUUUAUUUCCUGCCUCUAGGUCUCUGCACAAAUGGUUGCUAUUUUGGGAAUAUAUUCCCUCCUCAUAUCUAAAUGGCAGAAUCCUUAGGUUCCUUCUGAGUACUAUUUAGAUAACAGUCCUAUACAAAACGUUUAUUGAUCCCUCCAUUUGUCAAUUAUCAUCCUUCUUUCACCCUUACUCUCUAUUACCUUGCAUACUUUGGUAAAUACUUCAUAUUUACUUAUUUGUGUAUAUGUUGUGCCCCUUUCUUCCAAAAAAAAAAAAAAAAUGAACUCCUGAAAGGACAAGAAAUUUAUUUUUUUUUUCUUCAAUCCCCAACACAGUGGCAUGCCCAUAUUAAUGCUUAAUAAUUUUUCAAUAAAUUAAAAGUUUCUGGCUCUCUGAGUUCAUAACCUUAACAUAA